GUGAACGCUGGCGGUAGGCCUAACACAUGCAAGUCGCACGGCAGCACAGUAAGAGCUUGCUCUUACGGGUGGCGAGUGGCGGACGGGUGAGGAAUACAUCGGAAUCUACUUUUUCGUGGGGGAUAACGUAGGGAAACUUACGCUAAUACCGCAUACGACCUACGGGUGAAAGCAGGGGAUCUUCGGACCUUGCGCGAUUGAAUGAGCCGAUGUCGGAUUAGCUAGUUGGCGGGGUAAAGGCCCACCAAGGCGACGAUCCGUAGCUGGUCUGAGAGGAUGAGCAGCCACACUGGAACUGAGACACGGUCCAGACUCCUACGGGAGGCAGCAGUGGGGAAUGUUGGCCAAUGGGCGCAAGCCUGAUCCAGCCAUACCGCGUGGGUGAAGAAGGCCUUCGGGUUGUAAAGCCCUUUUGUUGGGAAAGAAAAGCAGCAGGUUAAUACCCCGCUGUUCUGACGGUACCCAAAGAAUAAGCACCGGCUAACUUCGU
rnacentral:rRNA from 1 species